rnacentral:rRNA from 1 species
CACAGACGGGGCAAGCGUUGUUCGGAAUCACUGGGCUUAAAGCGGGUGUAGGCGGGAAGGCAAGCGUCUUGUGAAAGCCCUCGGCUCAACCGAGGAAUUGCUGGGCGAACUUCUUUCCUUGAGGCAGGUAGGGGUGCAUGGAACUCUAGGUGGAGCGGUGAAAUGCGUAGAUAUCUAGAGGAACGCCGGUGGCGAAAGCGGUGCACUGGGCCUGAUCUGACGCUGAGACCCGAAAGCGUAGGGAGCAAACAGGAUUAGAUACCCUCGUA